AACGAACGCUGGCGGCAUGCCUAACACAUGCAAGUCGAACGAGACCUUCGGGUCUAGUGGCGCACGGGUGCGUAACGCGUGGGAAUCUGCCCUUGGGUUCGGAAUAACAGCGAGAAAUUGCUGCUAAUACCGGAUGAUGACGUAAGUCCAAAGAUUUAUCGCCCAAGGAUGAGCCCGCGUAGGAUUAGCUAGUUGGUGAGGUAAAGGCUCACUAAGGCGACGAUCCUUAGCUGGUCUGAGAGGAUGAUCAGCCACACUGGGACUGAGACACGGCCCAGACUCCUACGGGAGGCAGCAGUGGGGAAUAUUGGACAAUGGGCGAAAGCCUGAUCCAGCAAUGCCGCGUGAGUGAUGAAGGCCUUAGGGUUGUAAAGGCUCUUUUACCCGGGAUGAUAAUGACAGUACCGGGAGAAUAAGACUCCGGCUAACUCCGUGCCAGCAGCCGCGGUAU
rnacentral:rRNA from 1 species